rnacentral:rRNA from 1 species
GACGGACUGUCCUAACGUUGUUCGGAAUCACUGGGCUUAAAGGGCGCGUAGGCGGUCCGACAAGUCAGGGGUGAAAUCCUGCAGCUUAACUGCAGAAGUGCCUUUGAUACUGUCGGUCUUGAGGGAGAUAGGGGUGUGCGGAACUCACAGUGGAGCGGUGAAAUGCGUUGAUAUUGUGAGGAACGCCGGAGGCGAAAGCGGCGCACUGGAUCUCUUCUGACGCUGAGGCGCGAAAGCUAGGGGAGCAAACGGG